GAUGAAGAACGUAUUGAAAUGCGAUAAGUAAUGUGAAUUGCAGAAUUCAGUGAAUCAUCGAAUCUUUGAACGCACAUUGCGCCCCCUGGUAUUCCGGGGGGCAUGCCUGUUCGAGCGUCAUUUCAACCCUCAAGCUCUGCUUGGUAUUGAGUCCAUGUCAGCAAUGGCAGGCUCCAAAAUCAGUGGCGGCGCCGCUGGGUCCUGAACGUAGUAAUAUCUCUCGUUACAGGUGCUCGGCGUGCUUCUGCCAAAACCCCAAUUUUUCUAUGGUUGACCUCGGAUCAGGUAGGGAUACCCGCUGAACUUAAGCAUAUCAAUAAGCGGAGGA
rnacentral:misc_RNA from 1 species